rnacentral:rRNA from 1 species
UACGUAGGGGGCAAGCGUUGUCCGGAAUCAUUGGGCGUAAAGAGCGUGUAGGCGGUUCGGUAAGUCGGCUGUGAAAGUCCAGGGCUCAACCCUGGGAUGCCGGUCGAUACUGCCGGACUAGAGUGCGGAAGAGGCGAGUGGAAUUCCCGGUGUAGCGGUGAAAUGCGCAGAUAUCGGGAGGAACACCAAUUGCGAAGGCAGCUCGCUGGGACGUUACUGACGCUGAGACGCGAAAGCGUGGGGAGCAAACAGG